rnacentral:tRNA from 1 species
GGAGAGGUGCUAGAGCGGUUGAAUAGGACGCUCUCGAAAAGCGUUGCGCCUUCACAGGUGCCGAGGGUUCGAAUCCCUCCCUCUCCG